rnacentral:rRNA from 1 species
AAUGAACGCUGGCGGCAUGCCUAACACAUGCAAGUCGAACGAAAACACGGGGAGAUUUUGCCCCUGCGGGUGGCGCGGGACGGACGGGUGACACAUGGAUCGCAUACCUCUUAGACGGGGGUGAUAACGGCGGAAAAGAUCUGCUAACAGAGAAUAUAUCGUACGGGAGUGAUCAAGAGUUAAAGGAGCUUUUGGUGAUUGUAAGAGCCGAAUCCGGGGCGGAUCAGCUAGUUGGUAAAGUAACGGCUUAGCAACGCUACGAUGCGUAUCCGAUCUGAGAGGGUGAUCGGCCACACUGGAACUGAGACACGGUCCAGACUCCUACGGGAGGCAGCAGUGGGGAAUCUUACGCAAUGGGCGAAAGCCUGAUAGAGCAAUACCGCGUGAGUGAUGAAGGUCUUCGGAUGGUAAAGCCCUGUUGUUGGGAAAGAACAAAAGCGGGUUUAACCCGGACGGUCUUGACGGUACCCAAAGAAUAAGCACCGGCUAACUACGUG